AACGAACGCUGGCGGCAGGCCUAACACAUGCAAGUCGAGCGAGAUCUUCGGGUCUAGCGGCGGACGGGUGUGUAACGCGUGGGAAUAUGCCCUUCUCUGCGGAAUAGCCUCGGGAAACUGAGCGUAAUACCGCAUACGCCCUUUGGGGGAAAGAUUUAUCGGAGAAGGAUUAGCACGCGUUGGAUUCGGUAGUUGGUGGGGUAACGGCCUACCAAGCCGACGAUGCAUAGCUGGGUUGAGAGGAUGGUCAGCCACACUGGGACUGAGACACGGCCCAGACUCCUACGGGAGGCAGCAGUGGCGAAUCUCAGACAAUGGGGGCAACCCUGAUCUAGCCAUGCCGCGUAAGUGAUGAAGGCCGUAGGGAUGUAAAGCUCUUUCAGCUGGGAAGAUAAUGACGGUACCUGCAGAAGAAGCCCCGGCUAACUCCGUG
rnacentral:rRNA from 1 species